UACAGAGGUCCCAAGCGUUGUUCGGAUUCAUUGGGCGUAAAGGGUGCGUAGGUGGCGCUGUAAGUCGGGUGUGAAAUUUCGGAGCUUAACUCCGAAACUGCAUUCGAUACUGCGGUGCUUGAGGACUGGAGAGGAGACUGGAAUUCCUGGUGUAGCGGUGAAAUGCGCAGAUAUCAGGAGGAACACCGGUGGCGAAGGCGGGUCUCUGGGCGUAACUGACGCUGAGGAGCGAAAGCAUGGGGAGCGAACAGG
rnacentral:rRNA from 1 species